UUUAGUUUCAUUUUGGGUUGACUCUUCUCUGUUGCUGCCUGAUGCCUCUAGUGUAAGGCGAAGAUCUCCAUGUCUCAUGUCUUUCCUGCUCCCCUUCUCUGCCCUGUUCCACUCAGGGGAAUAGCCCAGCAUCAACUCAGUCCAUGCUUGUUAAUCAACCUCCAUACACCACAUCCAGCAAAGCUCCCUGAGUGACUUACAGUCACCAACCACCCGUGCACUCAUCUUUCCUCUGUGUCCUUCCAGAUUGUCCUGAGGAUGGCCUGGUUUUAAGAGGCUCACCGCCAUGUAAAGAUGAAGAAGAAGAAAAAGAAGAUGAUGAUGAUAAGAAUGAUGCCCACAUAACAGCUUGGAGCGAAAACGGUAUGUACCAUGAAAUAACUCACUUCCUGAGGGAAAAACUUGCUAGCAUCAGUGUAUAGGAACCUGAUUCUGGGUUCCUGCUGGGAAAGGGGAUUGGGGUUUUCGCGAAAGUGAUUUUGCCAGUGUAGAACUCUGGCCCGAGAAACUGUAGGGAGGUUUGUCAACCCAGAAGAAAGAUUAGGGGAUCAUGUAUGAAGCAGCGUGGGGUGGGAGAAUAGCCCAUCCUUCAGCUUCAGCUAAAGUAGGAGGAGUGGGUGAGUCACUCUGUCUAAUGACUUAUCCUGGUGUUUUUCUUUCUAAAGACUUGAUGCUGGAGAGUAUAAGUGAUAGAAGUUACGAGGAGACUCAUCCAGGUUUGGCUAUCCGUCCCAAGCACUGGACCACAAAAAUAUGGAGAUGGACCAAAAUUUGGCGUGCAGGAAAUAAAGGUAGUCUCAGAAGAAAAAAGAAAACACACACAAAAAAAAGAAAAGAAAAAUCAUGCGUAUUCUGGUAAAGUCACUGGACCAGAUUUUGCUAAGGAAAAUCUAGAUGAUAUGCCUGAGGGGUCUUUCUUUCUGACUUUAGUCUAGAGAGCCACCCUGACUCUAGUUUUCUGAGGGGAAUGAGGAUUGGUGGUGUGACAGGAAAAAAAAUAUUUUCUAGGCACAGCACUAUGUUCAUGUUUUGACAAGCAGUUGUGUUCCCUCUCGAUGCCAUGUUUGUGUGCAUGGACAGUGGGGUGUGUCUAUAUGUGAAUUUAAGUGGUGUGAUUGUGUGCAUGUCUGUGUUUCCCCUAGAGUUAUAUCUCCCUUACACAGCAAACCUGCAAGUGUCAGCUUUCUCCAUUAAUAAUCCCUUCACCAUUGCUCCCUUGGGCAUAUCUGUCUUCUAGCUGGGUGUACUACAAUUCAGUUCUGAUGAUCACCACACAGACUGUAUCUGAUCCCACAAGUCCAGGACAAAACCUUCCACCUGACUGCCCUUACUUGAGAUACCAGCUGCACUUUACGGAUGUGCAGGCCACUGUGAAUUCAGAGAUUACCAACACUGCCACCCUAAGACUCAAUAAUUCACUAGAAAUACCUCACAGAACUUAGGAAAACACUACAUUUACUAUUCGCUUAUAAAGGACACACCUAGGGCAAGGUGUAUGGGGGGAAGGUGGCGGGGAGCAGGGUCCUAGAAGCAUAGCUUCCACGCCCUUUCUCCUGGGAGUCACAGGGUGUCUUCCCUUCAGCCCAUCAAUUGUUCACAAACCUGGGAGUUCCACUGAGCUUUGGUGUUCAGGGUUUUUAUUGGACUUUCAUUGUAAGUAGACAUGAUUGAUUAAAGACUUGGCUAUAUGACUGAAGUCAGUCUCUAGUCCCCACCCCCACCUUCCUGGAGGUUGGUUGGCCCAAACAACCCUCUCAUAACGUGGUUGGUCUUUCACUCUCAUCCAUAAGCUGUCCAGGGCCCACACUGAGCCCCCUCAUUGGCAUAACAAAGGCAAUCUUAUGCAGGAAAUUUCAAGG
rnacentral:lncRNA from 1 species